AUUAUACUCCCUCCGUCCGGAAAUACUUGUCCUAGAAAUGGAUAUAGUGGAUGUAUCUGUAACUAAAAUAAGUUCUAGGACAAGUAUUUCCGGACGGAGGAAGUACGAG
rnacentral:pre_miRNA from 1 species